CCAAGAGACCGUGAAACCGUUGGGAGGGAAGCCCAGGGCGUCGAGGCGGUAUCGGCUCCGAGUCGGGUUCAGUCGGCUAUUCCGCGAGGACGGUCGGUGCAGUUCCGGCCGGAGUGCGACCGUCAGCAGGGUCCGAGGGCCGAGGUGUAGCGCUCGUCGGGGCAGGUGGCUAGUCCGCGUCUCUCCGGAGCGCGGACAGCACUUAGAGUCCGUCGAUGCUGGCGCCUUGCGAACGGAUCUGUAGCGAUGGGCGUCGAGUCGCCCAAGAUGGUGCAGGCGCAGUUCUCGCUCGGGCGAGGAUCGGGUUCCGUCCGCACCGCGGCCGGAGUCCCCGGAGCUGGGUCGAGUUGGCGCUCCGGCGUUCUCUCGACGGCUCCGGAGUCGAUCGGUGGCGGUCGGGCGAGAGCCAGGUGCUGCGCGUA
rnacentral:sRNA from 1 species